AGUGGCUUUGAACUAGCUGUCAGAUAACUGCGAGUACUCUCAGAUCUGUUCAUUGUGUCUUUUUGUGUCGGGAUGUAUAAGAACCGGGCCACGUCCACUUGUAUUUUUGUCCAUCUGAUGAGUUAAGCCUUUUUCAACAGAUUUUUAUAGUUCGUUCUUAUGUUGUACUGUUAUACCACUGUCCCAGGUUAGGGGAGGGUUGGGAUCCCGCUAACAUGUUUAACCCUGCCACAUUAUUUAUGUAUGUGCCUGUCCCAAGUCAGGAGCCUGUAAUUCAGUGGUUGUCGUUUGUUUAUGUGUUACAUAUUUGUUUUUCGUUCAUUUUUUUUUAUAUAAAUAAGGCAGUUAGUUUUCUCGUUUGAAUUGUUUUACAUUGUCUUUUCGGGGCCUUUUAUAGCUCACUAUACGGUAUGGACUUUGCUCAUUGUUGAAGGCCGUACGGUGACCUAUAGUUGUUAAUGUCUGUGUCAUUUUGGUCUUUUGUGGAUAGUUGUCUCAUUGGCAAUCAUACCACAUCUUCUUUUUUAUAUUU
rnacentral:lncRNA from 1 species